rnacentral:rRNA from 1 species
GCUCAGAUUGAACGCUGGCGGCAGGCUUAACACAUGCAAGUCGAACGGUAACAGGAAGAAAGCUUGCUUUCUUUGCUGACGAGUGGCGGACGGGUGAGUAAUGCUUGGGAAUCUGGCUUAUGGAGGGGGAUAACUACGGGAAACUGUAGCUAAUACCGCGUAAUAUCGAGAGAUUAAAGGGUGGGACCGCAAGGCCACCUGCCAUGAGAUGAGCCCAAGUGGGAUUAGGUAGUUGGUGAGGUAAAGGCUCACCAAGCCGACGAUCUCUAGCUGGUCUGAGAGGAUGACCAGCCACACUGGAACUGAGACACGGUCCAGACUCCUACGGGAGGCAGCAGUA